rnacentral:tRNA from 1 species
GGCUUUGUGGUAUAGUGGUUAGCACACUCGGCUCACAACCGAGAGAGCCCGGGUUCAAUUCCUGGGCGGAGUGG